rnacentral:rRNA from 1 species
AGAGUUUGAUCCUGGCUCAGAUUGAACGCUGGCGGCAGGCCUAACACAUGCAAGUCGAGCGGAAACGAGUUAUCUGAACCUUCGGGGAACGAUAACGGCGUCGAGCGGCGGACGGGUGAGUAAUGCCUAGGAAAUUGCCUUGAUGUGGGGGAUAACCAUUGGAAACGAUGGCUAAUACCGCAUAAUGCCUACGGGCCAAAGAGGGGGACCUUCGGGCCUCUCGCGUCAAGAUAUGCCUAGGUGGGAUUAGCUAGUUGGUGAGGUAAUGGCUCACCAAGGCGACGAUCCCUAGCUGGUCUGAGAGGAUGAUCAGCCACACUGGAACUGAGACACGGUCCAGACUCCUACGGGAGGCAGCAGUGGGGAAUAUUGCACAAUGGGCGAAAGCCUGAUGCAGCCAUGCCGCGUGUAUGAAGAAGGCCUUCGGGUUGUAAAGUACUUUCAGUUGUGAGGAAGGGGGUGUCGUUAAUAGCGGCAUCUCUUGACGUUAGCAACAGAAGAAGCACCGGCUAACUCCGUGCCAGCAGCCGCGGUAAUACGGAGGGUGCGAGCGUUAAUCGGAAUUACUGGGCGUAAAGCGCAUGCA